rnacentral:rRNA from 1 species
ACAACUUUCAACAACGGAUCUCUUGGCUCUCGCAUCGAUGAAGAACGCAGCGAAAUGCGAUAAGUAAUGUGAAUUGCAGAAUUCAGUGAAUCAUCGAAUCUUUGAACGCACCUUGCGCCCUUUGGCAUUCCGAAGGGCACACCUGUUUGAGUGUCGU